rnacentral:rRNA from 1 species
GAUGAACGCUGGCGGCGUGCCUAAUACAUGCAAGUCGAGCGAAUGGAUUAAGAGCUUGCUCUUAUGAAGUUGGCGGCGGACGGGUGAGUAACACGUGGGUAACCUGCCCAUAAGACUGGGAUAACUCCGGGAAACCGGGGCUAAUACCGGAUAACAUUUUGAACCGCAUGGCUCGAAAUUGAAAGGCGGCUUCGGCUGUCACUUAUGGAUGGACCCGCGUCGCAUUAGCUAGUUGGUGAGGUAACGGCUCACCAAGGCAACGAUGCGUAGCCGACCGGAGAGGGUGAUCGGCCACACUGGGACUGGAACACGGCCCAGACUCCUACGGGAGGCAGCAGUAGGGAAUCUUCCGCAAUGGACGAAAGUCUGACGGAGCAACGCCGCGUGAGUGAUGAAGGCUUUCGGGUCGUAAAACUCUGUUGUUAGGGAAGAACAAGUGCUAGUUGAAUAAGCUGGCACCUUGACGGUACCUAACCAGAAAGCCACGGCUAACUACGUGCCAGCCGCCGCCGUAA